rnacentral:lncRNA from 1 species
UUUAGAAAACAAUGGCUGGGAAAACAAAAAUAUUUCGUAGUACAGAACAAGCUAACAAAAACAUUUCAACACUAAAGUAAAACUGCAGCAAGCACAAUGGUUACACUACACUGUUUAGAUACCUAAUUGCUAAUUUAGGUUAUGCGGCUGAUGGAACCAAACAAUAUAUAAAGAAUCUAUUUUCAAGUACUCCCUCUGUAAACGGUCCAGUCCUAUGAGGACAUUACACACCAGUCAGAGUUCCAUGGAGACGGUCUCCUUUCCUAUACCUAAUCUAUGUAUAUAUACCUCCAUGGAGAUGGACAAAGACGACACGACCCACAUCACGACAGCACGGUUCUAGUUUCCUUGGUCCAUCCCCUUGCUUCUCUUAAGGUCUCUACCUUGGUGUUGUCAUGCUACUCUUGCAUUCCAAUCUAACAUUUAGCUAAUAUAAACUCACUGCUCUCUGUACAACAGAGCAGCAAUAGGGUAAAGAAGAAAAACUGGAACUUCACUAACCCACUAAAGUGUGUAAAGCCCAGCUCUGAAUUUUCGGUUGCACCGCUCAUCAUCAUCCAUCUCAGAGAAUAGGCAAAAUCUGCAACGAUAUGAAUGGCCUUAGAAUUAAAGGAUGUACAUCUACAACUACAGCAGAAUUAACUGUUAUGAAUUUUUUUGCAGGAGUGAACACGAGCUUUGUAAUUCUAUGUUUAUUUUAUGGAGCGGUACUGGCAUUAUUAAAAACAAUCCUGUUAGUAUUAUCAUUUUUCGGGUCUUCAAGAAACACAUCUCUUCUGUGCUAGAUCUAGAUACGCCCCGAGCGCAGUAUAAGUUAUUUGAAAUCGUGGAAAAGCAACCUGAAAAUUGUCUGAAGGCAUGAAGACCAGAAUUCAGAGUAAACGGUUGUAAAAUACCAAGAAACACUUCAUGGAAUAUAUUUGAUUACUCAGCAUUAAACAACCAAACAAGAGCAGUAAAAAAUGACCGAAGGAUGAUUUUGGCAGGCAUUUUAUGAAAAUAAUCUAGCCUCGUUGUACUGAACACUGAAAUGAAUCAUCAACUAAGAAUUUUAAAUUCCCGUUGAAUUCCUAUUGGGAUUCAAAUUUAGAGCAAAAGAAACCUUGCAUUGUUCAUCGAAGGGUAAAAUUCUCAGGGCGUCUUGAUUCUGGACCACUCAAAUAUCAUGGAGGUUAUACCAUAUCCAUUCAGUAAAAUCUAUAACAAAACAAAUGUACGCAUACAUAUCAGGAUGAAAUUCCUUAUAUAGAUCAUUAUAACUAAGGCAACAAAUAAUAUUUCGGGCUACUACCGUGUAUGCUUUAAUCAUAGUAUUUUUCACUGCAAAUAAUAUUUGCUCUUUGUCAAAACAUACGAGAAUGUAAGGAAAAAGUCAUACACAAGGGGAAGAGAAAUACGUCAUGUAACAUUCUUCAAGCCAAAUAAAUAUUAGUAGAAUCCUACAGGAGAGACUCACCAUAAAAUUGGUUCCAUUCUUUGAAUAACCACUUCAUGCAAAAUCCCUUACAAUAUAUUCAGACCAAUCCAUCGGCCAAAAAAUUGUAGUGUUCUUCACCACUGAACUCUGAUUCAAGAACUGAAGGGUAUGUCAAUUGCAUAUACUAUCAUGCAUGUUUUCAUCUGUCUUUUCCCCUCCAAAUGAUAAUUUUCUCCUUGCCAAAAGACACGAGAAUGCAAGCAAAAAGGUUCUGCAGAAAUAAGGUGCGAGAAAUGCCUCCUGUUACAGCCUUACAUGUGAAGCGAAAUAAGCAUUUUGUAGUAAGCAUAUAUGGUAAACUACAAUCUUCAGAUAACCACAUUGGGUAAUCCUUUACAAUCAAUUCAACCGACUAAUCGGUCAAUUCGACACCGGACAGUAAAGAUAAACACAAGUUACUAAAAACUUUUGAACCACAGAUGCCUUGUACUUAAUCCAUAUAAUGAGACCCACGAGGUAAUGUAGAAUAAAAAUAGUAGCUCUAUAUCUUAACCAAACCAUAGUGCAAAUAUUUUCCACAAAUAUCACAGUGAGCAGGAUAAGAACAACAUGAUAAAAACAGCAGCUCUGCAUCUUAAUCGACAAUUCAUCCCUACCUCGUCUCCCUGUCAGCCGCCACCUCCUCCUGGAUCUCAUCGCCGGUAGCACACCGUAGUCGGCCAGCCAGCAAUCAACACCAAACGCACGUUGGCACCAAACAACUAUCUCCAUGCCUUCGUCCCGCCCGUCUCCCCCGGUACUUUUUUUGCUGGUGUUCCCCAAUCCUUCUUGAUCAUCCUCCUUGUUGCCAGAACCACCAGCAGCUCCUUGUUGCCAGAACCACCAACAUCUCCUUGAUCCUGCAGCUAUGGUCCACGCUCGAUCUACUCCUCGUGGUGCACUAACGCCCUUAUCCACGAGACAAAGGGGAAAAUAAGAGAGAGGGCAGAGAUAGAGUGGGGAGGAGAUAGAGGCAAACCUGAACCACCUCGACUUCCCUGCUCUUGAUGCUCCGUCCAGCGAGACUUCUUCCACGGCCGAC